AGGCAACGACAGCCGUUAACUGGGUGUAAACACACACUUUCUACUGUUUGCGUGACUGUGGUGACAUUUUGAACUCGCCACAGGGAAAACUCAAGCCAUUUCAAACGUUGUUAUCGUCAUUUCUUUUCUGUAGAUGGAUUUAGAACGGUAUACAGUGGUGGCAUGCUGUGUGCUGUAGAGAAAUAGGAGAUGGCACGUGAGUCUGAAGAAAACGAGUACUGUAACUCGCUUCUUUGUUAAGAAAACUGUGCAGCUUUCCAGUGCAUCUCUUCAACUCUGAUGACAUGUUUACUGGCGCGAGAUUGGGGAAAUCUGUCACUCACAUGACAUCACAUCAAUAGCAAACGCCAAUGAUCAAAUCAAAUCCUCAUGGACAAACCAAAUCAAGUCCUCCUCCUUGCUCGAGGAGCCGUUUCACUUGGACAUACGGAACAUCGUAAAACAUGAAUCUGCUGUCAAUAAUUUUUCAUUUGGAUUUCAUCAGACUUGCAUGGCCAUUCAUC